rnacentral:rRNA from 1 species
AACGAACGCUGGCGGCAUGCCUAACACAUCCAAGUCGAACGAGACCUUCGGGUCUAGCGGCGCACGGGUGAGUAACGCGUGGGAACCUGCCCUUAGGUUCGGAAUAACUCCCCGAAAGGGGUGCUAAUACCGAAUAAUGUCUUCGGAGCAAAGAUUUUUCGCCUUUGGAUGUGCCCGCUUUGGAUUAGCUAGUUGGUAGGGUAAAAGGCUACCAAGGCGACGAUCUAUAGCUGGUCUGAGAGGAUGAUCAGCCACACUGGGGCUGAGACACGGCCCAGACUCCUACGGGAGGCAGCAGUGGGGAAUAUUGGACAAUGGGCGAAAGCCUGAUCCAGCACUGCCGGGUGAGUGAUGAAGGCCUUAGGGUUGUAAAGCUCUUGUACCCGGGAUGAUAAUGACAGUACCGGGAGAAUAAGCUCCGGCUAACUCCGUG